GAGUUUGAUCUUGGCUCAGGAUGAACGCUAGCGGCAGGCUUAAUACAUGCAAGUCGUGGGGCAGCAUGGUGUAGCAAUACACUGAUGGCGACCGGCAAACGGGUGCGGAACACGUACACAACCUUCCGUCAAGUGGGGAAUAGCCCAGGGAAACUUGGAUUAAUACCCCGUAACAUAUAGAGAUGGCAUCGUCUUUAUAUUAUAGCUUCGGCGCUUGAUGAUGGGUGUGCGUCUGAUUAGGUAGUUGGCGGGGUAACGGCCCACCAAGCCUACGAUCAGUAGCUGAUGUGAGAGCAUGAUCAGCCACACGGGCACUGAGACACGGGCCCGACUCCUACGGGAGGCAGCAGUAAGGAAUAUUGGUCAAUGGGCGAAAGCCUGAACCAGCCAUGCCGCGUGAAGGAUUAAGGUCCUCUGGAUUGUAAACUUCUUUUAUCUGGGACGAAAAAGGUGAUUCUUCGCCACUUGACGGUACCAGAUGAAUAAGCACCGGCUAACUCCGUGCC
rnacentral:rRNA from 1 species